rnacentral:lncRNA from 1 species
GGUGAACGACGUUACUACGCAAUCUACCGGAUGCUCGACCUUUGGAGACUUACUCGCCAGUAGUAGAAGGAGAUAACGUGUUCUUAGGAGAAGAAAAAUCAAUGAGUUUGGGGUGUUUAGGGAUGCUCAUGCAAAAAGGCAGUCCUAUAUGAAGGAACUGUGCUACCUUAGAUGACAUGCCACGAGAGGCUAUACGAAACCUAAGAAAUCGGUAACAUGCGGGAAAAGUAAAGGGAUCGAGAGAUCUA